UACAGAGGUCCCAAGCGUUGUUCGGAUUCACUGGGCGUAAAGGGUGCGUAGGUGGUCGGGUAAGUCUGAUGUGAAAUCUCCGAGCUUAACUCGGAAAUGGCAUUGGAUACUAUUCGGCUAGAGGGUUUGAGGGGGGACUGGAAUACCUGGUGUAGCAGUGAAAUGCGUAGAUAUCAAGUGGAACACCAGUGGCGAAGGCGAGUCCCUGGAAAACUACUGACACUGAGGCACGAAAGCUAGGGGAGCAAACAGG
rnacentral:rRNA from 1 species